ACCACUCCUUAAUCAGCGUUAAUUGACAGCAUGAUACUUUUUUAUAAUACUUUUAGGAAUUGCAUUUUUAAAGCCUUUUUUUCUUUUUAUUUUAUUAAUUUGGUAUUCCUCCACAAGCUCCAAGUAGGAACAGAACAUCAAACUGAAACAUUCAGGUUUUUUCAUAAAAGGUUAAGAAUUUGAACAACAGAUGAUCAGCAGUUUAAGGGUUUAAGGAGUAAAUCUCAAAUCUGCUGUUGCGAGAAACUGGACAUCAGGAUGAUUUGUGUGAGCUGGGACAGAGUCAGUGUAAGGAGCAAGCUUCAGCAGAACAGGAGGUUAUCAAGCUUCCAGUUCAGUGUGUGGGCGAUCCGAGGCCUUUAACCGCUGUGGUGGAUUAUGGAGACGAGACAUUUCCCAUAGAUAAUCAUCAUCCAUGUCCAGUUCAAUGUUUUGAUGACCCAACUUGUUCAAAUGCAAAUCAGCCGCUAGUAAGUGUCCUU